UAUAUAUAUGUAAGUAAUGAUUAUUAUUAAUAUUUUAUAUUAUAUUAUAUUAUAUAUAUAUAUAUGACAAAGAAAGAAAGAAAAGAAACAGAGAGCAAAACAAAACAGAGAAGGGAGAAAGAAAGAAACAGAGAGCAAAACGAAACAGAGAAGGAAGGAAGGAAAGAAAGAAAGAAAAGAAAAGAAAAAGGGAAAUUUGGGGUUUUAAGGUUCAAAGUAAUUUGGUAAGUCAAUUUAAUCCCCUUUUCUCUUAAUUUUGAUAUUUUUUUUGAAAUCCUAGAAUAAAAUACUACUUGAUUUAAGUUGAAAUUUUGAAAGUUAGUAGAUUAUUAAGCAUGGUUCAUGUUGAAUAAAUUGUUAAAUUAGGGAUGUAUUUGAUAGAAAUUUUGAUUGGAAUUGAAUAAAGGAUUGAAUUGUAAACUAAACUAUAAGUUUUGAAUUUUAGGGAUUAAUUUGAAAUAAAUUCGGAAUUAUGAAAACAUGAUAAAAAUUAAAUAGUUAAAUAUGAGUUUAGUAAGAAUUAAGAGAGAAUAUAGAGUUAGAUUGGGAAAAAUAAAAUUAGUAUUGGUAAGGGAUUAAAUUAGAAUUUGGGUAAAGUUUAGGUAUAAAAGGAAAUAUUUUAAUGAAAUUGUGUAUUAAUGAUUUUUAAUUGUUUAAUUACGUAGCUAAUGUCGUGUACGAGUCAUUGUCCGAGAAAGGAAAGGAGAAAGUGGACAAGGAGUGACUCGAGAGAAAUUACGGUUAGUAUUACUAUAAUUCGAAUUUAAUUAUUAAUCGUUGAAAAUUAAAUUAAUAUACACGAUAAGCAAAUUGAGGUGAGUUUCAUAAUUGAAUUGAAUAAUAUAUAUACGUAUUGAUAUUGAAUUUAUUGACAGUAAUUAUUGAAUUUUGAAUAAUAUGUUAGUAAAUAAAAAUAAGGAGAAUAUCAAUAUUUAAUUGAAUGAAUUAAAAUAUGAAUUGAAUAAAUGAGAUAUUAAAUUGAGAUAUGUGAAUAUGUGAAUUGUGUAUUGAUUGAAAAGUGGUUUGAAUUGAAUCGAAGUAUGAUUAUAUGUGAAUAUCUGAAAUAUGUAUUGGUAUUGAAUUGUAUAUUGAUUUGAAAGUGGGAAGUGAAUCUGAGUUGAAUUGCGAUUAAAUCGAAAGUGAAUUUGAAAUAGAAAAAUGUAUUGAAACAAAUGGUGAUUAAAUGGGAAUGAUUUGAAUUGAAAGUAUGAGAAAGUGAUUGAAUUGAAAUGUGAUUCGGAAACCCUAUUAACUAGUCGGGCUGAGUCGGAUAUAGUUGGCAUGCCAUAGGAUUGGAAGAGUUCAGGGAUACUUCGACCUUGAGUCGAUGAGACACUGGGUGUCACUAUAUUUCUUCGGAUAGAUUCGAUGAGGUACUGGGUACCAACUUUACUUCGGCUGGGCCGAUGAGACACUGGGUGUCAACUAUUGCUUCGAACUAUCCGAUGAGGCACUGGGUGCCAUUUUGGUGUGUUUGGUUGGAUCCGUGUAUCCGCCAAGGUCCGAGUCUUGUUAAUAGGGGUAAAUAAUUGAAAUGAGAAAAUUGAAUAAAUGUGAUUGAUUGAGCUAUGGGAAGAAACGAAAAAGUGAAGUUGUGAAUUGAUGUGUGAAUUGGAAAUCGAAAUAAGAGAUUUAAAGAUAUGAGUCCAAAGUUCAUGAUGUGAUAAAGAGUAAAUUUUGUUAUAUGAUAUUAGUGAGUACAAAUUGCAAUAAAAUUUAUAUUGAAUAUAAAUUAAAUGAAAUGAAUUGUAUAUGAAUUGAAAUGAACUAUUGGAAUGAGAUGUAAAGAAAAAUCCAAUGGAAUUGAGAUAGUGAAAUAAGGUAUGAAUACAAUUAAAUACAAGAUUUGAAUUAUAGCUUAUUGUUAUUAAUUAUCAAGUUGAUUUAAUGCAUGAGAUAAUUAAUGAAUAAUUGUAGACAUAAAUAAAAUGUAUAUAAUUUAUCGAUUAAUGUUAUUAAUUCGAAUUAUGGUAAUACCACUGAGUAUUUCCAUACUCAGCGUACGGUUGUUUCCGUGCGCAGGUUAGGUCAAAGUCGGAUUGUUGAAUCAGCAUCCAAAGCCGAUUCUGAGCUAAUUGUGGUGGUGAACAUUUCUUUUAGUUAUGGCAUGUAUAGGAAUUUAGUAAUUUUGUAUAUUUGUAAAUAUGAUUUUACUAUAGAAUGAUGUGUAAGUAUUUGAUGAUGAAUGGUUGUUUAAAUGGUCAAGGAUGAAGUUAAUUAUUGUUAUAAAAGUCUAAGUGAUAAAUUAGGUAUGAAAGUCAUAAAAUGGUAAAAUUUUGCAAAGAAACAGAAUUCAGGCAGCAAUAGUGACGUGAAUUUGAAAAAUCACCCAAGAUAGUAUAAAAUGAAUUAGAGGGUGAAUGAUAUAUGGAAUUAAAGCUUGUUGAGUCUAUUUUCAUGGAAAAAUAACGGUGUAGAGAAAAGAAAUUUAUAUUUUAAGAUAUGUGAAUUUUAGUAAGAUAGGGUCAGAACUGUUUUUGGAGUCCCCUGUUCUGAGUUUAGAAAAUAAUUACAAAUUGUACAAAAAUGGUUAUGAGUUGAAAUUUACAUGCUUAGAUUCCUUAAUGAGUCUAUUUUCUAUAGAAACAAGUAAGAACUUCAUAUGAAAAUCCUAUGGUGAGAAAACUUAUUUUUAGUGACUAGAGGUCAGGGCAGUCUGGUGGUGACACAGGGGAGACUUUAACUAAUAAACUGUACUAAUUUGCUGAACCAAAAAUUCUAAAAAUUUUAUGGUGAGUAUAUAUAUGAGUCUAGUUUCAGGGAAAAUUUACGAAAUUAAAUUUGAAGUUCCGUAGCUCGAGUUAUAAUCAAUUUAGUAACUGCUGCGCGAUUGGACAGAUUACUGUAAACAGUGAAAUUAAUUUUUAAAACGAAUUUUUAUGCCCCGAAUUAGUAAGAUAAGCUAAGUAAUGCCUCGUACUCGAUUCCGGCAACGGUCUCGGGUAAGGGGUGUUACAAUUUAUUUGCUAGUAAACUUACUAAGCUUUAUGCUUACGUCUUUUAUUUCUCUUUUUCCUAUAGUAUUGCAAGGUUACUUCAAGGAUCCUAAAGAAGUCGGAGAUCGUCCACACUAUCAAGAACAACUACUUGGUAUUUUAUGAUGAAACAUAUUUGGGUUAUGGCAUGUAUAGGGAUUUAGUUAUUUUGUAUGUUUGUAAUUAUGAUUUUGCUAAAGAAUGAGGUGUAAGUAUUUUAUGAUGAAUAGUUAUUAAAAUGGUUAAGUAUGAAAGUGUUUGUGGUUAUAAGAGUCUAAGUGAUAUAUUAUGCAUGGAAAUCAUGAAAAGCGUAAAAUUUUGCAAAGAA
rnacentral:lncRNA from 1 species